UACAGAGGGUGCAAACGUUGUUCGGAAUCACUGGGCAUAAAGCGUACGUAGGCGGCGUCGUAAGUGUCGGCUGAAAUCCCACGGCUUACCCGUGGAACGGUCCGGCAUACUGCGGUGCUAGAGGAUGGUAGAGGAGAGCGGAACUCUUGGUGGAGCGGUGAAAUGCGUAGAUAUCAAGAGGAACACCGGUGGCGAAGGCGGCUCUCUGGUCCAUGUCUGACGCUGAGGUACGAAAGCUAGGGGAGCAAACGGG
rnacentral:rRNA from 1 species